CGCCUGGGGAGUACGGGUGAGGUAACGGCUCACCAAGGCGACGACGGGUAGCCGGCCUGAGAGGGUGACCGGCCACACUGGGACUGAGACACGGCCCAGACUCCUACGGGAGGCAGCAGUGGGGAAUAUUGCACAAUGGGCGCAAGCCUGAUGCAGCAACGCCGCGUGAGGGAUGACGGCCUUCGGGUUGUAAACCUCUUUUAGCAGGGAAGAAGCGAAAGUGACGGUACCUGCAGAAAAAGCACCGGCUAACUACGUGCCAGCAGCCGCGGUAAUACGUAGGGUGCAAGCGUUGUCCGGAAUUAUUGGGCGUAAAGAGCUCGUAGGCGGUUUGUCACGUCUGCUGUGAAAAUCCAAGGCUCAACCUUGGACUUGCAGUGGGUACGGGCAGGCUAGAGUGCGGUAGGGGAGAUGGGAAUUCCUGGUGUAGCGGUGGAAUGCGCAGAUAUCAGGAGGAACACCAAUGGCGAAGGCACAUCUCUGGGCCGUAACUGACGCUGAGGAGCGAGAGCGUGGGGAGCGAACAGGAUUAGAUACCCUGGUAGUCCACGCCGUAAACGGUGGGUGCUAGCUGUGGGCCACAUUCCACGUGGUCCGUGACGAAGUUAACACAUUAAGCACCCCGCCUGGGGAGUACGG
rnacentral:rRNA from 1 species